AGAACAUCUUUUCUAUCGCCCAAAAAUAAAUCUAAGGGUUUUCUAUUUAUUAGGUGUAUAUUGUCUUUUCUAGUACUAAAACAAUAAUGGCUAAGUCUCAUCCUCACAAGAGAUUAAGGUUGAGAAUAUAUUGUAUUGUUGUUAGCAUAAACA
rnacentral:sRNA from 1 species